AUGUGGAAAGCAAAGGGCUUGUUCACAUCUCUGGGGAGAAAAGUCAUACACUGCUUCUGUAUUGCUAAAAAAGGAGUUUUCUUCCAGGAACCAACAGGUUUGAAUUUCAGUGGAUUUUGGACUUCCAAUUCUCCUGACUCACUUAAAAAUCCUGGCUUUAAUGCCUUCAUCGCAAGUCAUCUGAAGUCUCUUCAUUUAGCACCGCUGAGAAGCAGAGCAGAAAGGGGCAGCUGUUUAUCAGGAACUGCUUUUGAGAGGCAAACAGGUGGAUCAGAGGGGAUCCCAGCCUGGCAAGAAGGCAGGCUGCACAGACAGCCCCGCUCCGAAGUCCAACACUGCUCCAGCACCGCCCGGGCAUGCUUUCCUGCAGGAAGGGCGAAACUGAGAGGAAGAUGGAGAGCAAGGAGAAAGGAUGCUUGCCUUUUGAACUGUUAUCUGAUGCCACCAGAGAUGAUCUCCAUGCGGCUGGGGCUUUUGUGCUCUGCUUUCUAG
rnacentral:lncRNA from 1 species